rnacentral:rRNA from 1 species
UAACGCGAAGAACCUUACCUGGGCUUGACAUCCCCGGCGAUGCCCCUGGAAACAGGGGCGGAGGCCAUCCGGGUGACAGGUGCUGCAUGGCUGUCGUCAGUUCGUGCCGUGAGGUGUUGGGUUAAGUCCCGCAACGAGCGCAACCCCUGCCCCGUGUUGCCAGCGGGUAAAGCUGGGGACUCGCGGGGGACUGCCGCGGAGAACGCGGAGGAAGGCGGGGAUGACGUCAAGUCAUCAUGCCCCUUAUGACCUGGGCUACACACGUACUACAAUGGGAUGGACAGAGGGAAGCGAAGGAGCGAUCCGGAGCGGACCCCAGAAAGCAUCCCCCAGUUCGGAUUGCAGGCUGCAACCCGCCUGCAUGAAGUCGGAAUCGCUAGUAAUCGCAGGUCAGCAUACUGCGGUGAAUACGUUCCCGGGUCUUGUACACACCGA